rnacentral:rRNA from 1 species
UGGGGAAUUUUGGACAAUGGGGGAAACCCUGAUCCAGCCAUCCCGCGUGUGCGAUGAAGGCCUUCGGGUUGUAAAGCACUUUUGGCAGGAAAGAAACGUCAUGGGUUAAUACCCCGUGAAACUGACGGUACCUGCAGAAUAAGCACCGGCUAACUACGUGCCAGCAGCCGCGGUAAUACGUAGGGUGCAAGCGUUAAUCGGAAUUACUGGGCGUAAAGCGUGCGCAGGCGGUUCGGAAAGAAAGAUGUGAAAUCCCAGAGCUCAACUUUGGAACUGCAUUUUUAACUACCGGGCUAGAGUGUGUCAGAGGGAGGUGGAAUUCCGCAUGUAGCAGUGAAAUGCGUAGAUAUGCGGAGGAACACCGAUGGCGAAGGCAGCCUCCUGGGAUAACACUGACGCUCAUGCAAGAAAGCGUGGGGAGCAAACAGG